GAUAUUGUACAAUGGGCGAAAGCCUGAUCCUGCCAUGCCGCGUGUGUGACGAAGGUCUNCGGAUGNUNAAGCACUUUAAGUUGGGNGGAAGGGUUGUAGAUUACUACUCUGCAAUUUUGACGUUACUAACAGAAUAAGCACCGGCUAACUUCGUGCCAGCAGCCGCGGUAAGACGAAGGGUGCAAGCGUUAAGCGGAAUUACUGGGCGUAAAGCGCACGUAGGUGGUACGGUAAGUUGGAAGUGAAAGCCCCGGGCUUAAGCUAGGAAUAGCUUUAAAAACUGACGAGCUAGAGGACGGUAGAGGGUAGUGAAAGUGCAUGUGUAGCGGUGAAAUGCGUAGAUAUAGGAAGGAGCAGCAGUGGCGAAGGCGACUACCUGGACUGAUACUGACACUGAGGUGCGAAAGCGUGAGGAGCAAACAGG
rnacentral:rRNA from 1 species